UACGUAGGGUGCAAGCGUUAUCCGGAAUUAUUGGGCGUAAAGGGCUCGUAGGCGGUUUGUCGCGUCGGGGAGUGAAAACUCAGGGCUUAACCCUGAGCCUGCUUCCGAUACGGGCAGACUAGAGGUAUGCAGGGGAGAAUGGAAUUCCUGGUGUAGCGGUGAAAUGCGCAGAUAUCAGGGGGAACACCGGUGGCGAAGGCGGUUCUCUGGGCAUUACCUGACGCUGAGGAGCGAAAGUGUGGGGAGCGAACAGG
rnacentral:rRNA from 1 species